rnacentral:rRNA from 1 species
UAGGGAAUCUUCCGCAAUGGGCGAAAGCCUGACGGAGCAACGCCGCGUGAGUGAUGAAGGUCUUCGGAUCGUAAAACUCUGUUAUUAGGGAAGAACAAAUGUGUAAGUAACUAUGCACGUCUUGACGGUACCUAAUCAGAAAGCCACGGCUAACUACGUGCCAGCAGCCGCGGUAAUACGUAGGUGGCAAGCGUUAUCCGGAAUUAUUGGGCGUAAAGCGCGCGUAGGCGGUGUUUUAAGUCUGAUGUGAAAGCCCACGGCUCAACCGUGGAGGGUCAUUGGAAACUGGAAAACUUGAGUGCAGAAGAGGAAAGUGGAAUUCCAUGUGUAGCGGUGAAAUGCGCAGAGAUAUGGAGGAACACCAGUGGCGAAGGCGACUUUCUGGUCUGUAACUGACGCUGAUGUGCGAAAGCGUGGGGAUCAAACAGG